UACGUAGGCAGCAAGCGUUGUUCGGAAUUACUGGGCGUAAAGAGUGUGUAGGCGGUGCUCUAAGUUCGGUGUGAAAUCUCCUGCUCAACUGGGAGGGUGCGCCGGAAACUGGAGUGCUUGAGCGUGGGAGAGGAAAGCGGAAUUCCUGGUGUAGCGGUGAAAUGCGUAGAUAUCAGGAGGAACACCUGUGGUGUAGACGGCUUUCUGGACCAUAGCUGACGCUGAGACACGAAAAGCGUGGGUAGCAAACAGG
rnacentral:rRNA from 1 species